UUAAGUGACGAUAGCCUAGGAGAUACACCUGUUCCCAUGCCGAACACAGAAGUUAAGACCUAGAACGCCUGAUGUAGUUGGGGGUUGCCCCCUGUUAGAUAUGGAAGUCGCUUAGC
rnacentral:rRNA from 2 species